rfam:Gorilla gorilla gorilla genomic chromosome, chr6, whole genome shotgun sequence
GGCCGGUUAGUUCAGUUGGUUAGAGCGUGGUGCUAAUAACGCCAAGGUCGUGGGUUCGAUCCCCAUAUUGGCCA